UUCAGCGGUUAUCGAGUGAGGGUCACACCCGUUCCCAUCCCGAACACGGAAGUUAAGCCUCAGAUCGCCGAUGGUACCUGGCCCUCGGGUCCGGGAGAGUAGGUCGCCGCUGGAU
rfam:Fibrobacter succinogenes subsp. succinogenes S85, complete genome.